GAUGAAGAACGUAGCGAAAUGCGAUAAGUAAUGUGAAUUGCAGAAUUCAGUGAAUCAUCGAAUCUUUGAACGCACAUUGCGCCCGCCAGUAUUCUGGCGGGCAUGCCUGUCCGAGCGUCAUUUCAACCCUCGCGCCCAUCUGGGCUGCGGUGUUGGGGACCGGCCUGCCCCCCGGGGCGCGCCGCCCCCCAAAUUCAGUGGCGGUCUCGCUGCAGCCUCCCUUGCGUAGUAGCACACCUCGCACCGGAGCGCAGCGCGGCCACGCCGUAAAACCCCCGACCCCCAUGAGUUUGACCUCGGAUCAGGUAGGAAUACCCGCUGAACUUAAGCAUAUCAAUAAGCGGAGGA
rnacentral:misc_RNA from 1 species